AAGAGUUGCGUAGGUGGCAUGUUAAGCGGGUAGUGAAAUCGUGUGGCUCAACCAUACAAACAUUAUCUGAACUGGCAAGCUAGAGUGCUAUAGAGGUUACUGGAAUUUCUAGUGUAGGAGUGAAAUCCGUAGAUAUUAGAAGGAACACCGAUGGCGUAGGCAGGUAACUGGAUAGCAACUGACACUGAGGCACGAAAGCGUGGGGAGCAAACGGGAUUAGAUACCCCGGUAGUCCACGCCCUAAACUAUGGAUGCUAGCUGUGAGGAGUAUCGACCCUCUUCGUAGCGAAGCUAACGCGUUAAGCAUCCCGCCUGUGGAGUACGAGCGCAAGCUUAAAACAUAAAGGAAUUGACGGGGACCCGCACAAGCGGUGGAGCGUGUUGUUUAAUUCGAUGGUAAGCGAAGAACCUUACCCAGACUUGACUUCCUUGUCGUCGAUCUUCGAAAGAAGAUUUUCAUUUAGUUGGACAAGUGACAGGUGUUGCAUGGCCGUCGUCAGCCCGUGUCGUGAGAUGUUUGGUUAAGUCCAUCAACGAGCGCAACCCUUGUAUUCAGUUGAAUUUUUCUGAAUAGACUGCCCUGGUAACAGGGAGGAAGGGGGGGAUGAUGUCAGGUCAGUAUUACCCUUACGUCUGGGGCUACAAACACGCUACAAUGGCCGGUACAAAGGGCUGCCAACCCGCGAGGGGGAGCAAAUCCUAUCAAAGCCGGUCUCAGUUCGGAUUGCAGGCUGAAACUCGCCUGCAUGAAGCUGGAAUCGCUAGUAACGGUAAGUCAGCACAUUACCGUGAAUACGUUCCCGGGUCUUGUACACACCGCCCGUCAAACCAUGAAAGUCACCAAUACCUGACGUCUAACUUUUCGUUGGCCUAAGGUAGGGGGGAUGAUUGGGGUUAAGUCGUAACAAGGUAA
rnacentral:rRNA from 1 species